GAUGAACGCUGGCGGCGUGCCUAAUACAUGCAAGUCGAGCGAACAGACGAGGAGCUUGCUCCUCUGACGUUAGCGGCGGACGGGUGAGUAACACGUGGAUAACCUACCUAUAAGACUUGGAUAACUUCGGGAAACCGGAGCUAAUACCGGAUAAUAUAUUUAACCGCAUGGUUCAAUAGUGAAAGCCGGUUUUGCUGUCACUUAUAGAUGUAUCCGCGCCGCAUUAGCUAGUUGGUAAGGUAACGGCUUACCAAGGCAACGAUGCGUAGCCGACCUGAGAGGGUGAACGGCCACACUGGAACUGAGACACGGUCCAGACUCCUACGGGAGGCAGCAGUAGGGAAUCUUCCGCAAUGGGCGAAAGACUGAAGGAGCAACGCCGCGUGAGUGAUGAAGGUCUUCGGAUCGUAAAACUCUGUUAUUAGGGAAGAACAAAUGUGUAAGUAACUAUGCACGUCUUGACGGUACCUAAUCAGAAAGCCACGGCUAACUACGUG
rnacentral:rRNA from 1 species